UGGGGAAUAUUGCACAAUGGGCGCAAGCCUGAUGCAGCCAUGCCGCGUGUGUGAAGAAGGCCUUCGGGUUGUAAAGCACUUUCAGCGAGGAGGAAGGUGGUGAGCUUAAUACGCUCAUCAAUUGACGUUACUCGCAGAAGAAGCACCGGCUAACUCCGUGCCAGCAGCCGCGGUAAUACGGAGGGUGCAAGCGUUAAUCGGAAUUACUGGGCGUAAAGCGCACGCAGGCGGUUUGUUAAGUCAGAUGUGAAAAUCCCCGGGCUCAACCUGGGAACUGCAUUUGAAACUGGCAAGCUAGAGUCUCGUAGAGGGGGGUAGAAUUCCAGGUGUAGCGGUGAAAUGCGUAGAGAUCUGGAGGAAUACCGGUGGCGAAGGCGGCCCCCUGGACGAAGACUGACGCUCAGGUGCGAAAAGCGUGGGGCAGCAAACAGGAUUAGAUACCCUGGUAGUCCACGCUGUAAACGAUGUCGAUUUGGAGGUUGUGCCCUUGAGGCGUGGCUUCCGGAGCUAACGCGUUAAAUCGACCGCCUGGGGAGUACGGCC
rnacentral:rRNA from 1 species